CCGGGGCUCUGGAGGAGUGCUGCCUUGUCCUGCAAAUGCUUAACAGUGCCCAAAUGCAAGUGAUGAGUAAACGCGGUUGAGCGAACCCAGGUACCUGCCCAGAGGGGCUUUCCAAGCGCAAAGCCAACGUCAUCUGCGUGACCUGCUUUUACAGAGCUUGGUUUUGAAUAUCCACUUGAACUUGGCUGGUGCUGAAAUUCAUAAAAGCACACUAGAUUGCCUAAUAAACGAGUAAUCAAAACUCUGCUGGUGCUCAAGUGUUACUUGUUACAGCUCCACUUGGAAGCAAGAGAUUUGCGGGAGCGCAGAGGGGAAUUACACCCAUGCCUGCCCGGGUGCUACCAGUCGGCAAUACCUGCUGCUUUCCCUGUGUGGAAAUCACCUGCGUAAGGAAGACAGUAUUUGCAUAAUCUUACUGACCAGUUGUUCUCAGAUACAUGGAACAAUCCUUGGAGCCUGGGAACCAGCCUCAGAGACCCUGAAGGACGGACCCUCUGCAGAGUCUGAACUACAGCCCAAUGCCCCGCUUCCCCACCUGGUGCUUAGUUACAGGACAUAACGGACGGUCAGUUAUCAGAGUUCUGGCUACAACUCCACUCUCUGAGGUAGCCCUGUGGAACCCUUUGCCAGGGGAGAGAUGACCUGAGAAGCAGGAAUGGCACGUAACAAACAUACUUGGUCCCUUACUUAGAAAGGCCAACAUAGAAAUGAUGUAUAAAUAAUACAUUUUAAAAAAAAGAUUG